rnacentral:rRNA from 1 species
AAUGAACGUUGGCAGCGUGGAUUAGGCAUGCAAGUCGAGCGACAAGGUCCUUGGACUGGAGGAGCGGCAAACGGGGUAGGUAAUACAUCGGAACGUACCCUCACGUCUGGGAUAGCCACGGGAAACUGUGGGUAAUACUGGAUAAUCUCACCGCUUGUGAAGAGUGGUGAGCAAAGGUCCGCCGCGUGAGGAGCGGCCGAUGCGAUACUAGAUAGUUGGUGGGGUAAUGGCCUACCAAGUCUAAGAUGUCUAGGGGGUGUGAGAGCAUGGCCCCCACCACUGGGACUGAGACACUGCCCAGACACCUACGGGUGGCUGCAGUCGAGAAUCUUUGGCAAUGGGCGCAAGCC